UACGGAAGGUGCAAGCGUUAGUCGGAAUUACUGGGCGUAAAGGGUGCGUAGGCGGAACUGUAAGUCGGGCGUGAAAUUCCGGGGCUUAACCUCGGAACGGCGUUCGAUACUGCAGAUUCUAGAGGAAUGGCGGAGAGAAUGGAAUUCCAUAUGUAGCGGUGAAAUGCGUAGAUAUAUGGAAGAACACCUGUGGCGAAAGCGGUUCUCUAGCCUUCUCCUGACGCUGAGGCACGAAAGCAAGGGGA
rnacentral:rRNA from 1 species